rnacentral:rRNA from 1 species
GUGGGGAAUAUUGGACAAUGGGGGAAACCCUGAUCCAGCGACGCCGCGUGAGUGAAGAAGUAUUUCGGUAUGUAAAGCUCUAUCAGCAGGGAAGAAAAUGACGGUACCUGACUAAGAAGCCCCGGCUAACUACGUGCCAGCAGCCGCGGUAAUACGUAGGGGGCAAGCGUUAUCCGGAUUUACUGGGUGUAAAGGGAGCGUAGACGGCACUGCAAGUCUGGAGUGAAAGCCCGGGGCUCAACCCCGGGACUGCUUUGGAAACUGUGGUGCUAGAGUGCAGGAGAGGUAAGUGGAAUUCCUAGUGUAGCGGUGAAAUGCGUAGAUAUUAGGAGGAACACCAGUGGCGAAGGCGGCUUACUGGACUGUAACUGACGUUGAGGCUCGAAAGCGUGGGGAGCAAACAGG